GUCCUGGAUGGCACUUCACUUGAAGGUAAAAAUUAUUCUGAUAAUACAUGCAUGAAAUAGCACUGAUAAUUUUUUUUUUUCUGACCAUUUCAUGUCCUGAGCCAAGAGACCCUGGGCUUGGUUCAAAUACUCUGUUGAAGUUCAGCUGCCAGUAUUAUCAGCUUUCUGAGCAUAGAUAUGAUGGACAUGUGUAUAGAUUCUGUGGACAUCCUCGGGAAAAAACUCCAGCCAUGAUUGGACCAGCUGCUUUUUUAAUGACAAGGAGGGAAGACUUAACAAGGGAAGAAAUGAAUCCUGCAAGGUCAUAUAGGAAAGCAGUGAAAAAAAUACUUUUAGAAUGGAGAAAUUAAUACAGUGUCCUGGGCUCAAAACCCACAAAAAUCAAGCUGUACAAUAAUUAUCAUUAAAACUGUAGUAAACAGUAAAAUUAACACAGGUCUAGUAUAGAAUGCCAAGACAUAAUGGUGCUG
rnacentral:lncRNA from 1 species